rnacentral:rRNA from 1 species
AUAUACGACCGUACCGCAAACCGACACUGGUGCGCGAGAUGAGUAUUCUAAGGCGCUUGAGAGAACUCAGGAGAAGGAACUCGGCAAAUUGACACCGUAACUUCGGAAGAAGGUGUGUCCUAUUAGUGUGUAGUGAACAACGAAGCAUGAAUGGGUUGCAAAAAAUCGGUGGCUGCGACUGUUUAUUAAAAACACAGCACUCUGCAAACACGAAAGUGGACGUAUAGGGUGUGACGCCUGCCCGGUGCUGGAAGAUUAAAUGAUGGGGUGCAAGCUCUUGAUUGAAGUCCCAGUAAACGGCGGCCGUAACAAUAACGGUCCUAAGGUAGCGAAAUUCCUUGUCGGGUAAGUUCCGACCUGCACGAAUGGCGUAACGAUGGCCACACUGUCUCCUCCUGAGACUCAGCGAAGUUGAAAUGUUUGUGAUGAUGCAAUCUCCCCGCGGAAAGACGGAGAGACCCCAUGAACCUUUACUGUAGCUUUGUAUUGGACUUUGAACAGAUCUGUGUAUGAUAGGUGGGAGGCUUUGAAGCAGGGUCGCUAGAUCUUGUGGAGCCAACGUUGAAAUACCACCCUGGUGUGUUUGAGGUUCUAACCUAGGUCCAUUAUCUGGAUCGGGGACAGUGCAUGGUAGGCAGUUUGACUGGGGCGGUCUCCUCCCAAAGCGUAACGGAGGAGUUCGAAGGUACGCUAGUUACGGUCGGACAUCGUGACGAUAGUGCAAUGGCAUAAGCGUGCUUAACUGCGAGACUGACAAGUCGAGCAGAUGCGAAAGCAGGACAUAGUGAUCCGGUGGUUCUGUAUGGAAGGGCCAUCGCUCAACGGAUAAAAGGUACUCUGGGGAUAACAGGCUGAUACCGCCCAAGAGUUCAUAUCGACGGCGGUGGUUGGCACCUCGAUGUCGGCUCAUCUCAUCCUGGGGCUGUAGCCGGUCCCAAGGGUAAGGCUGUUCGCCAUUUAAAGAGGUACGUGAGCUGGGUUUAAAACGUCGUGAGACAGUUUGGUCCCUAUCUUCCGUGGGCGCUGCAGAUUUGAGGAAGCCUGCUCCUAGUACGAGAGGACCGGAGUGGACACACCUCUGGUGUAUCGGUUGUCACGCCAGUGGCAUUGCCGAGUAGCUAAGUGUGGAAGAGAUAACCGCUGAAAGCAUCUAAGCGGGAAACUCGUUUCAAGAUGAGAUCUGCCGGGGCCUUGAGCCCCCUAAAGAGUCGUUCAAAACCAGGACGUUGAUAGGUCAGGUGUGGAAGCGA